rnacentral:rRNA from 1 species
GAUGAACGCUGGCGGCGUGCCUAACACAUGCAAGUCGAGCGAACAGACGAUGAGCUUGCUCCUUUGACGUUAGCGGCGGACGGGUGAGUAACGCGUGGAUCACCUACUUAUAAUACUGGGAUAAUUUCGGGAAACCGGAGCUAAUACCGGAUAAUAUAUUGAACCGCAUGGUGCAAUAGUUAAUGACGGCUUUGCUGUCUGUUAUAGAUGGAUCCGCGCCGCAUUAGCUGGUUGGUAAGGUAACGGCUUACCAAGGCGACGAUGCGUAGCCGACCUGAUAGAGUGAUCGGCCACAGUGAAACUGAGACACGGCCCAGACUCCUACGGGAGGCAGCGGGAGGAAAUCUUCCGAAAUGGGGGAAAGCCUGACGAAGCAACGCGGGGUGGGUGAUGAAGGUCUUCGGAUCGUAAGACGCUGUUAUUGGGGAAAAACGAAUGUGUAUGUAACUAUGCACGUCUGAAGGUAACCAAAGCAGAAGGACACGCCAAAUUACUG